UCCUUACAAUCGACAACCACCAUCAUCAGUUUCUUCAUUUCUUCACCUGAAUCGACAACCACCAUCAUACCAGCAAUUGAAUUCCCUGAAUCUCUACAGCCACAAACCAAUUCAGUUCUUUCCUAUUUCCUCUAUCAAUUGUAUUCAUACCUGAUUUAAUACACCAAUUGAAUUCCCAGAUACGUUUCAUACCAGCAACCAUUUAACAUCGAACCCAUCAUGGAACUGGGUACUCAUUUGCAGUUUGAUGAUUUGGCAAGGUGAAAACGAUGAUUAGAGUUGAUUUGAGAUCCACCCACAAAGAUUCAGAAACAGAUUUGAUUAAUAUUAAUCGUUCAAGCUGAAGGCUUUAAUCCUGAAUCCUGAAUUGGAGAAUCAAAAUGGAGAGAAAGUGAAGCAGGGCACUAAAGCUGACCAACGUGCAAAAAAUGCAAUGCUUCUAUAUGCCUCCAGCAUAAGGUUGAGGAUUACUGCAGCUGAUGUGGAAGCUGCUGCUGCAGGUAGCUGUUGCUGCUGCUGCUCCUCCUGCGGCUAAAUUGAUACCUACAUUUACUGAAAUGCCUGGGGCGACGAUUGUUCCGAUUACUACUAUCCAAGGUGCAGUGUCGUAGAACAUGAUCGAGAGCUUGUCUGUGCCGACGUUUCGCGCGGUCAAAGCAACUUCGGCCCCAUGAGUACAACUCAGGUAAGUUAAAAUGGUAAUAAUUCGGACCUUGUUUCUUUAAAAAAACGUGUGUGCAAAAUGGUAAGCUCAAAAAUAAAUCAGUAAUAUGUAUGCUAUGGAAUGGCUGGAGGUGUAGUUACGGCAUCAGAGUAGUGUUACUGGUUGCAAAGGCUUUUAUAGCUACAUAUAGUAGGGGUGUGAAUUUCUAACACGACCCGAAAACACGACAUGAACCUAACACGGAAUUCACGGGUUUAGGUUUAGUCUAAACGGGUUCGGGUUAGUUUCAGGUUGAACCCACCCGUUUAACUAAACGGGUCGGGUUGGGGUCAACCUGGUCAGGUUGACGGGUUGACCCGUUUAACCCCAUUCACAUUAUCUUUUACGUUUUUACGAUACGUUUAUGUUAUAAAUUAAUUUGGUUGUUUAUUUUAUGCAUAAUUAUAACUUAAAAAGAGAGAUUGACAUAAAGUUUUAUAAUUAAAAUGCAAUUGUAUUAUAUGCAUUUGUGUUUUUUUUUAGUAAAAUUUCAAUUUAAGUAUAUUAAUUUGCAAAAAGAAAAAAAAUAAAAGUUUGAAGAUUCGGUUAAACGGGUCGUGUUCGGGUCAACCCACUAAUAUUUGGUUCGUCUUCGGGUUCAUAUGUUUGACAAGAUUUUCGGGUUCGGGUUCAUAUAAAAUUUUCGGGUUCGGGUUCAUAUAAAAUUUUCGGGUUCGGGUCGAGUUGGACCCGUCAACCCGCGAACCCGACCUGUUUAGCACCCCUAACCUAUAGUCACUUGUAACAAUCAAUCAGCACCAUCCUUACCUGAUGAUGCAAAGAGUCGGAGAAUAACUUUGUGAUUUGUUGGGAUUCAAUUUAGUCUAUAAGCCAUCUCUCAAAACUGUUACAGUGAAGCGAGAAUAUAACAUUUGUUUUAGUAAUAAUUUUAAGCUUAAUAGUUAACAUUUUAUUACCAAAGGACUAAGGAGUUAGUUGGAUUAAAAUAAAAUGCAAUUUGGGAGGCUCAGACAAUUUGGGUAGUUAACAUUUUACAUUUGAUAUGUAGUAUACCAGAAACAAUGUUGAGUUAUUGGUUAGUAUUAAUCAAAGAGUCAAAGGCAUAAAAAGGCCUACUUGGGAACAUCUUGUUUAUGAAGGUAAUGGGCAGGACUUGGUCGAGAGGGCAGCUCGUUACACAGGUGAGAGUGAAGUUUCUUGAUGACCAGAACCGUUUCAUCAUGAGGAACGUGAAAGGACCAGUCCGAGAGGGUGAUGUUCUUACUUUGCUCGAGUCUGAGAGAGAGAGGCUAGGAGGUUGCGUUGAUUUCGGUUGGCUUGUCAUCAUCAUUGCAAUGGUUCAGUUUUUACUCUCAUUUUGGUGUUACUUUUGAUGUUUGUUUUGAGUUGCAGACAUGAUGUUUUGGUUUUGAGAAGAUAUGAUUAGUGUAAUAUGUGUUUCAUCUUUUGAA